CACCCCCUCCUCUCGAUCCAGAGAAAAACUGGUACGACGCCCCCUCCUCUCGAUCCAGAUGCGACCUCUCUCCCGCUCCGCCGCCGCCCCUACUGCUCCGCCGCCGCCCCCUCGAUCUGUUUCCUGUGGCCAGAUCCGGCCGGGGGAGCCGCCGUAGAGCCUCCACGUCGUCGGAGCAGAGCAGCCCGAGGUGUGUGUCGAUCUCGUCCCGCAGAUCGCCGGCGGGGCCACGACCACCUCAUUCACUGUCGUGGUGGUGCUUCUCCCUGCGUCGCCGUCGUUGGUUCGCCUCACCCUCCUCACCCCGUCGGCUGCAACCGCUCCUACCCUCCACGGUGCUCCUCUUCGGCAUCCACCGCAGGCCAGUGAGCGGCCACGAUCAGGGAGGCCUCUACCUCGACUGCAACCGGUCAUGGUCGUCUCUGCACCGCCGCCCCCUCGCAUCGCACCGUUGCCUCGUGUAGGACUACGAGCAUGGGACGCUCGGUUGAGGUUUUCUUGUCUCGUCAGGAUUCUCGUGCUGCAAAUUUAGUAACGAGGCAAACUUUUGGGUGUCCUAAUUUGUUUGCGGAUUGAUGAGAAUUUGGCGAGGGGGAUCAUAAACCACCGCUCGCUGCGGCACAUCAAUUGUUGAAUUCGCUUGAAGGAGGGAUGACGAACAACAUGGGACAAGGAGGAACUUUACAUCGAGACGAUGUUUCCUCUCUACCAUUCUCUUUCCUUUCCGAGCCGUUCACAAUCGUUAGAGAGGUGGACAUUGAUUGGGAGGGAGGAUAAGAGGCCUCAGAUCGUGGAUCCUCUUUGAUCCAGACCUCCUCGACGCCUUGCGCGCCGUCAUCUACGCAUACACCCACGCGCUCGGGUGCGAAGUGUCCACACAUGCGCCCGACUGGGACGAGCUCGGCGUGCUUCUGCCGGGCCAAACGGCGCCAUGCCCCUGUUGUUGUGGACCUAUGGUGGUACAUCAGCGAAGAUGAUGAUGAGGUGGCGCCACCCGAUAUGGUCGGCUGGUUGCCGUUGGCUCUAUGAACAUGGCUCGGUCGCUGCCAUCACUGUGAACCGCAUGUUGUUCCUCAGAUGCAACAAGAAUGACUUCUUGGGUUCACUGUACUUUCUAAACGGUUGUAACUUUUUUGCUUCUGAAGUGUCAUAGGAUACCAAAAAUCUGGAUGAUAUAUUAGUCACCUGCAGUCCUUCACAAGAAUUGAUCCAAAGGACGAAAACUUGUAAAUUCCUCAAGCACAUAAACUACAGAAAGUUGGAAGCAUAGAAAAUGGAUUGGGACAAGGAGCCAGACAGAGGAUGAGGAGGGGCUCGGCGGAACAAAUGGCCAAGGAGAAAAAAGUAGCUAUCGCCACAAGCAUCAAGAUAUGUGGGCUUCAUGUAACUCAUGCUUCCUACCAAUACGUUUUUCAUAAUUUCCAUUGAACACCUCAAAUGAUCUGAGCUUGUCUGUUAUUUUUUGCUGAACAGUCCACUCCGCACCACAUGAGAAAUCUACACAUUUUUUUUGUUAUAAUCAUAUUUAUUCUCUAGCCAAGAAUUAUGACUAAUUUCUCAGGCCUGAAGAACCAGUAUAUAAUCAUAGUUUCUUAAUUAGUUAGGGAUGUUUCGGCAAUUGUUUUUACCACCACUAUUAAUCACAAUGUUCUGUUUGUUGUAGGCAUCAUUUACUAUCCUGCAGAAUACAUCGGUAAGUUGAGGUGUGCACACACCUUCCAUCACUAAUGGAGUUGAAUGUGACCGGGGUCGCGCUGCUAAAGCACUGCAUCUUCUGUGGUGCACGUGGCGACUAGAUGUAUCAAUAGUGAUGAAGCAAGGUUCUGCUGUCUUGGUCUGCAGGCGUGCGUGAGCUCUGGCAUGGAGAGCUUCAUCAGUGUCAUUGAGUGCACUGGAUGGGAGAGUUAUGUUACUCGCUCACCCAUGGAGUUCUCCAAAAUUGUCUGUUGCUUCCUACUCUCCGGGGUCAUCUUUAACUGAUUUAAUUUGUCCCAAGUUGUGGUAAUUCGGGAGAGAGACAACGUCGUCGUGUUGGUCGCUGAGCAAGCAGAUCAAAGCACAAACACGGGAGGUAUCCGACAACAACGACGACCACGACAUCGUUCCACUUAGACUUAGAGGCAAGAGCAAUGAUUCCACCGGCAGCAGAGAUCAACAAGUUCUUCUCCAUCAGAGAGUAAAUGCUUCACCGCCAACUAAGUGAAGACUUAACUAAAAGAAGUACAAAUUGGACAUCAUGUGAGGCGUGACGCUCAAAUCCGGCAAGGAAGAUUGCGGCCGCGCACGUAGAAAGGAAAAGGUGCCCACACAUUGAAAACAAGUCUGGAAAAGGAGGUUAGCUGAUUAAUCACAGACAUAACACAAGAGUUAUGGUACAGAGAAAGAACUUCUUCAUUCAGGAUUACACAUGUGUCAUGUGUCAUAGACCAGCAUUGGAGGCAACGGAUCACUUGUACUUCGUAUGCCCUUUUGCAAAACUCUGUUGGCAAUAUGUUUGUCCUUCAUGGAACCCUCCCUACUGGGACAGAUAUUCAAGACGAAGUUGCCCAUCACAAACAGUUGCUAAAUCUGCCUUUUGCCAUGGACAUUAUUAUACUGAUCUCAUGGGCAAUUUGGACCACAAGGAACGACUUCAUCUUCCAGCACAUUCCUCCAAAUCUCUAUAAUUGCCGGCGUCGAUUUAAGGAGGAAGUAAAAUGGUUCACCUACACGACAAAGAGAAAGGAGCUCACUGGCCUCAUGGAUUGGGUUCAGGUUUUCAGAUACAGCUCUUGAUAGCUUUGUUGUAUCUGUUGUAUUUUCUGCCUUUGUUUGUUUUGCUUUUUGUACUUUCCUUUUGAUUGUAUAGAUUAUUUUUGUUUUGAACCUCACCA